AGAGGAAUAGCUGGGUCAAAUGGUGGUUCCAUUUCCAGAUUUCCAAGGAAUCUCCAUACUGUUCCAAAUUGGCUGCACCAAUUUGCAGUUCCACCAGCAAU
rnacentral:pre_miRNA from 1 species